rnacentral:snRNA from 1 species
GUGCUGGCUAUGGCAACAGCACACAUACUGAAAUCAGAACUAUACAGAGAUUACUUACUAUGGCCCUGAGGAAUGAAUGACUUGCAAGUUAGUGAAGCAUGUCAUAUUGAA